rnacentral:rRNA from 2 species
AUUAGAUGAGCCUAUAUUAGAUUAGCUAGUUGGUGGAGUAAUAGCCUACCAAGGCAAUGAUCUAUAGCUGAUCUGAGAGGAUGAUCAGCCACACUGGAACUGAGAUACGGUCCAGACUCCUACGGGAGGCAGCAGUGGGGAAUAUUGGACAAUGGGCGAAAGCCUGAUCCAGCCAUGCCGCAUGAGUGAAGAAGGCCUUUGGGUUGUAAAGCUCUUUUAGUGAGGAAGAUAAUGACGGUACUCACAGAAGAAGUCCUGGCUAACUCCGUGCCAGCAGCCGCGGUAAUACGGAGAGGGCUAGCGUUAUUCGGAAUUAUUGGGCGUAAAGGGCGCGUAGGCUGAUUAAUAAGUUAAAAGUGAAAUCCCGAGGCUUAACCUUGGAAUUGCUUUUAAAACUAUUAAUCUAGAGAUUGAAAGAGGAUAGAGGAAUUCCUGAUGUAGAGGUAAAAUUCGUAAAUAUUAGGAGGAACACCAGUGGCGAAGGCGUCUAUCUGGUUCAAAUCUGACGCUGAAGCGCGAAGGCGUGGGGAGCAAACAGGAUUAGAUACCCUGGUAGUCCACGCUGUAAACGAUGAAUGUUAAAUAUGGGAAG